UACAGAGGGUGCGAGCGUUAAUCGGAAUUACUGGGCGUAAAGCGUGCGUAGACGGUUUUCGUAAGUCGGGUGUGAAAUCCCCGGGCUCAACCUGGGAAUUGCAUUCGAAACUGCGAGGCUAGGGUACGGAAGAGGGAAGCGGAAUUUCUGGUGUAGCGGUGAAAUGCGUAGAUAUCAGAAGGAACAUCAGUGGCGAAGGCGGUUCUCUGGGCAUUACCUGACGCUGAGGAGCGAAAGUGUGGGGAGCGAACAGG
rnacentral:rRNA from 1 species